rnacentral:lncRNA from 11 species
CAAGUCAUUAAUGAAGAUGUUGAGCAGAACUGGGCUGAGGACUGAAACCUGCGGCACUCCACUAAUCACUCCUUUACAGGAUGAAGAAGAACCAAUGGGAGACAAAUUAUUUCUCCAAGAAAAAAAAAACUGCUGUUGAACUUGGAGGAAAACCACCCACAAUUGUAAAGGAAGCCAGUACAAUAAAUACUAUUAUUUUAUGGUUCUCCUGUCUUUUAUAAAUAGACACAUGUAUAUACACUUUCAUUUAAUGGAAUGCUUAUCCUGCUGGGAAUAUUAAUUGAAAAACCAAAUGUUUCACAUUGUGACAGGUAACCUCUCCCGGAUUUGGUAUUUUCCCCCCUUUCAUAUGCAUCAACUGUAUAAUUAGUGCAUUUUCUUGUAAGUAGACAGUAAUUUCUCUUCAGCGGGUUAGCUUUUGUUCCCAAUGUGGCAAAGAAGACACACUGGUAACUAACGACAAACAAACUGCGUUAAUACAUUAGUCUGACUUAUAAUGGCAAAAACAGAAUUAUGUUUCCUACAAAAAUAAAGUGUACAGUUUGACAAUGACCAG